rnacentral:rRNA from 1 species
AAUGAACGUUGGCGGCGUGGAUUAGGCAUGCAAGUCGAGCGAGAACCCCGCAAGGGGGGACAGCGGCGAAAGGGACAGUAAUGUGUAGAUUAUCUGCACUCAGGUCCGGGAUAGCUGCGGGAAACUGCAGGUAAUACCGGAUAACAUCUCCGGACCAAAGGUGUGAUUCCGCCUGAGGAUGAGUCUGCAUCCUAUUAGCUAGUUGGGGGGGUAAUGGCCUACCAAGGCAUUGAUGGGUAGCAGGUGUGAGAGCACGACCUGCGUCAUUGGGACUGAGACACUGCGCAGACACCUAGGGGUGGCUGCAGGCGAGAAUCUUCGGCAAUGGGCGCAAGCCUGACCGAGCGACGCCGCGUGUGGGAUGAAGGCCUUCGGGUUGUAAACCACUGUCAGAGGGGAUGAAAUGCAGGUGGGUUCUCGCAUCUGUUGGACGUAGCCUCAGAGGAAGGACGGGCUAAGUUCGUG